rnacentral:rRNA from 1 species
CCUAGGGUGGCAGCAGUGGGGAAUAUUGGACAAUGGGCGAAAGCCUGAUCCAGCCAUGCCGCGUGUGUGAAGAAGGCCUUCGGGUUGUAAAGCACUUUCAGUGGGGAAGAAAGCCUUGGGGCUAAUACCCUCGAGGAAGGACAUCACCCACAGAAGAAGCACCGGCUAACUCCGUGCCAGCAGCCGCGGUAAUACGGAGGGUGCGAGCGUUAAUCGGAAUUACUGGGCGUAAAGCGCGCGUAGGCGGUCUGAUAAGCCGGUUGUGAAAGCCCCGGGCUCAACCUGGGAACGGCAUCCGGAACUGUCAGGCUAGAGUGCAGGAGAGGAAGGUAGAAUUCCCGGUGUAGCGGUGAAAUGCGUAGAGAUCGGGAGGAAUACCAGUGGCGAAGGCGGCCUUCUGGACUGGCACUGACGCUGAGGUGCGAAAGCGUGGGUAGCAAACAGGAUUAGAUACCCGUGUAGUC